rnacentral:rRNA from 1 species
UUAUGCGAUAAAUGGUGUGAAUUGCAGAAUCCCGUGAACCAUCGAGUCUUUGAACGCAAGUUGCGCCCGAUGCCAUUAGGUUGAGGGCACGUCUGCCUGGGUGUCACAUAUUGAAGCCUCCUGCCAAUUUCCUUUUGACAGGUAUUGUGCAGGGUGGAUGUUGGCCUCCCGUGAGCUCUCUUUCGUCUCAUGGUUGGUUGAAAAUUGAGACCUUGGUAGGGUGUGCCAUGAUAAAUGGUGGUUGUGUGACCCACGAGACCAAUCAUGUGUUGCUCUAUUAAAUUUGGGCUCUUUUACCCAUUUGCGUUUCUAAACGCUCGUGAUGAGACCUCAGGUCAGGCGGGGCUACCCGCUGAAUUUAAGCAUAUCAAUAAGCGGAGGAAAAGAAACUAACAAGGAUUCCCUUAGUAACGGCGAGCGAACCGGGAUAAGCCCACCAUGAGAAUCGAUCGCCCUCGGCGUUCGAAUUGUAGUCUGGAGAAGCGUCAA